UAAAAUAAAUUUUUAUAAAAAUAUUCGUAAAUAAUUUUUCGCACAUGAAAGUAAAGUAAAAAUUGUAUGAAUAGAAAUACAGAUAACCAAAAUAUAAGUUUCGAUUUGCAAUGACACGUGGGCUCCAAUUGACCAAGAGGAUGUAAGACUGUGAACUCUUACUUUCUAUAAUGCAGUUUCGAGCUUAGUUCUCGUCUUACUCGACUAUCUACAAACUGUCCUGAGCCUGAAAAAUGUAUAGGAAGAAGGGGUGAGAUUUUAUAAUCCCAGUGAGUAAACAGAUACCAUCUAAAGCAUCUAAAGCCGAGUAAAUGGAGACAAUUAAAAUAAGUCAUCAUACUGUAAUUUCAUUACCUUUAAGUUCAUUUCAACCAAAUAAAAUAAAUCCAUAUAAAUCGAGUAA
rnacentral:lncRNA from 1 species